UGUCUAGCCAAGUAGAACCUGUGGAGAGAAGGGACAUAACAAUUUCAGGCUCCUUCCCUUCCAUGCUUACUCAGAUGCCAAGUGCCAACAACACUCCCUCCUCAGGCCACCUUGCCACUCCCUAUAUUCCUGUCAGACCUCACUGACUGCAACCACAUAUGGUCCCACACUCAUCUCUCAGGUUCUUUUCCCUAAAAUGUGAUGUACACAGUCCUUACCUGCUCACUUUUUUUUGGCUCCUGUGUAAGGGACUUUAAAAAAAAUGAGGUAGCUGAUAAGAUCUGAAAUGGUCAGCUUGAGGAUUGGGUACAAUUGCUUGGUUGCUGGUUCUGUUUUCACCCUAGGAAGGGCCACCUUCCACGCUGUUUCUAAGAAAGCAAUGUCCAGCAAUGUUGACCUAACUACACUGACCCCCCAUCACAUACCCUUGUAAUUACCACACUGUAAUCAAUCUAAGAUAUGUAUAUCCUUUUAAGCCAAUCGCCGCCUUAUGAGCUUGUGUUACAGGAAGUCUUGCCUUAUGUAUGAGUUCCUGCCACAGGAAGUACUGCCUUAAGAGUUCCCGCCACAGGAAGUCCCACCUUAUAAUGAUCUACUACCAAUCAAGUAAUAUCUUUCAGUGAUCUAUGUUUGUAAAUACAAAUCAAGUACUGUACUUCAUGUCCUUUGUUUUCUUCUUAUAAAACAUCACGGCUGAGUUGCCAUAUUGGAUUACUGAAUUCCAGUGCACUGAGUUCAGUCUAUCUCCAGCUUGAGCUGUCUCUUUAUUUUCAAUAAAUCUCUCAAUUUUACAUUAAUCAGAGUACAGAUAGUUACUCUAUGACUAAUGGCAUAGUCAGCAGGAUUUCUGAAGAAAUAUUAUCUUCUACAUUCCUGAGAAGUCAUGGAACUGCCCUGUCCUAGUACCAGCAAGGGACUCUUGUGCCCACAGCCAUCUCCUCAAAUUCUCUGGGUUCGCUGGAGGUAAGCUGCUCAGAUUGAAGCCUUGCUCUUAUUGUGAAGAUGGCUCUUUGAGAGAUUUAUUGGCUAUCUUUUCUCUAUACUUUCAUUUUCUACUCAUUUCCUGAGCAUCUUACCAAAUUAGUAAACCAUCUUGUGGUCAGUCUAUUUUACUGAACUCCCUUUUCUUUCUGGUACACCAUAAGGUUUUCGUGCACAUUUAGGUCUUUAAUACUUGCAAGUUUCUCCAUAAAAUGUGGAGUGAUACGUCCAAGACUGAAGCAGGAUCCCCUAAGGAAAUGUUUGCCAAUUAUAUGACUAAGUAUUAUGGCCACGGUUCAGUCUUAUAUUUAGGCCAAUGGCAUGUGCUUAUGAAGGGAAAUUUAAAGGACCAAUAACCAUUGUGGGGGUCGUUUGAGUUAACUAAGUUGAACUGUCUGUGCAGCAAAUUAGAGGCUAAGGGCUUACGAAUAAAACUAAAGCAAUGAGAAGCAUUUUGUAAUUGGCACAUGGAAGCUUCCAAAAGAAAUCAUAAAGUCAUCUCCUUGUAGAAGACUGUUUCAAAACAAGCUAAACAAAUUGAAGAAUUACAGUGUCAGAGCUCUGUAACCUCGAUUACUACUUACCCAGCAGCAGCCCUUAUACCCCUUUCCCAAAAUGAUUCCUUUUCCCAAAAUAGCUCCCUUUCCCAAAAUGGCUCCUUUCUCAAGGUGGCUCCCUUUCCCAAAAUGGUGAAGUCCCUGGUGUCUGUAGUCCAACCCCAGCCUCUGAUGCCUGCCUACCCUCCUUUCCCUCUGCCCCUCCAUCAGUAACUCCCCUGUUGCCCUCUUUACCUACCUACUCCACUGAAAAGCCCCUUACGGAACCUCUAUAUUAUCUCAAGGAACCUCUAGAAGAAGUAAAAUGAAUUUGUGAAAUGCCUUUUAAAAUUAAUAUCUUGAGGCUCAGAAGCCACCACAAGUUACUUUUGCCUCCUGGUCAAAAGCAGAACUUCAUGCUGUUGUUAGGGAAUUUCCUAACCCUUGUGAAGAUCCUCACACAUUCACUCGAUAAUUUAGACUCUUGGCUGAUACCUACGAACCUGGUCUGGCAAACUUAUAUAAUUCAAUACAUUCACUGAUAUGGCCAGGAAACACUCAAAGGUGGAUGGAAAAGGCCUGAUAGAAAACUCCAACAUUAUCCCUAACAAUCUAGCCUGUUUCUGGCAUGGAACUAAUAGCACAGACCAAAAGUAUUGUCACAGACCUUACUGAAGCUAUCCCAAAGAUUCCCCUCUGCCAAAAAAAUAUAUAUAAGACCAAGAUUCAGGGUUACAAACAAAAUGAAAAUGAAAAUGUUAGUAAUUAUAGGGAGUGUUUGACUAAACUUUUCCGAGAACACUGUAGUUUAAAGCUAGAAAGAGUCUGGAUCCUGUAUUGUUUUCAGUUCCCUUUUUGUCAAUGGUCUCCAUCUGGAGCUUGCUGAGUUAGUCAGACAUUACAAACUAGAUUGGGAAAAUGAAAACACUUCACAGUUAGCCACUCUUAAACAACAAGCUAGGGAAGAACUAAAGCUAAACAAAAUCAACUUACUGCCCUGCAAUUACAGCAGUUGCAGACCCAGCCUCAAAGUAAUUGCCCCACACAGAACAGGUUCACCCGACUUAUGGCCAAGAUUGGGCCCAAUAACUUGUCCCUUGUUUAUUAUGACUAUAAAAAGCCUGUAUUUUGAAAACGAUUGUUUAAAACUAAAAAAUAAACUGGGCAACCUAACACCAGAUGUAGCCCAGAAGCAGAUAGAAUGAAGGGGCUCCAGGGACAAAUCUGUGGUUUUUCCUAUGGUAGCACUAAACUCUCAGGGAGAAACUACUAUUCAAAUAAAUAGAGAACCAUGUAAAUUUUAAUUGACACAGGUGUUACCUUAACUGCAAUAAACCCUACAAAUUUACAAAAGCCCUUGCUGUGGAGUAAUAAAACCUAAAGAGUCAGGGGGAUCACUAAUAAAGAACAGAUUUUAACUCAUUCCCAGCCUUUUUCUGUCUCUUUAAGUUCUAUAGAGGAUAUGCACCCAUUUUUACUCAGCUUAGAUAACUCCAGUAAAUACUAGGAAGAGAUCUGUUAUCCAAAUAGAAUUGUGAAAUAAAAUUCUCAGAACAGGAAUCUGAAGCCAAUCAACAAAUAGACUCUAUGAUAGAAAAUACUAUAAGUGAAUAAGCCUGUUCCUAUUUGCAAGCACUCAGCUUACCACCACAAGAAGGUCAUUCCCCUGUUUUAUCCAAUUCUAUGGAAUGUCUGUCUUCUGUACUCGGAAGUUUAUGGGCCAUUACUUCUACUGAUGUUGGUCAGGUCCCAUCAGUGGAACCAAUUAAAAUUCAAAUAGAUACCUCUAAACCCUUACCUAAAAUUUCUCAAUACCCUUUAAAAUGAGAAGCUAAGGAAAGACUUGUUCCUAUAAUUCAAGAUUUUUUGAAUAAAGUCUUAAUAAUCCCUUGCACCACUCCAGUAUUCCCUGUUAAGAAACCCAACAUUUGAGGCUGGAGAUUUGUACAAGACUUCUGUGCUAUUAAUUGUAUAGUAAUUCCAAGAUUCCCCGUAGUUUCUAACCCUCACCUACUCCUCUCUAAUGUCCCCCCUGAAGUGACUCACUUUACAGUAGUCAAUCUUUGCAGUGGUUUUUUGUUUUUGUUUUUUUUUUGCAUUCUAGUCCAUCUGGACAGUCAAUAAUUGUUUGCCUUCACUUGAGGGGACCAACAAUUUACCUGGACUGUCAUGUCCCAAGGUUUUACCAAGUCCCCCACCUAUUUUUCUCAGAUAUUACAUGCUGAUUUACAGACUUUACAGUUCAUUCAGGGGCCUACAUUAUUACAACAUGUGGAUGAUUUACUGGUCUGUUCUAACUCCCAACAGGCAUAUGUUAUGAUAGUAGCCUGCUGUUACAGCAUUUGGACAGAGGAAGUCACAAAGCCUCUAGAGAAAAAUUACAGUUAGCCCCACCUUUUGUUAAGUACUUGGGAUAUAUUAUUUCAGCAAAAUAGGUCACUAUAGACCCCAAAAGAGACCAUCUUAGCUUAUCCUGUCCCUACUGUCAAAAAACAGUUAAGAGGUUUCUAGGACUCUGAGGCUAUUGCAGAACUUGGAUACCUAUUUUUUCUUUGCUGGCUCAACCUCUUUACCAUUAUCUAAGGGAUUCAGAGCCUGACCUCUUCCAGCUCUCCAAGGAUGGCCAAAAGGACCUCCCUCAACUAAAAGAAGUAUUAAUUAACACUCCUGCUCUAGGGAUUCCUAAUUAUAAUUUAGACUUUUCACUUUUUGUCCACGAGAUUUCUUGGAAUGCUCUAGGAGUCCUCACUCAAAAACACAAAGGACAACGGAGACCCACUGGUUAUUAUAUCAUCCAGCUGGAUCCCAUCACAAGAUGCUACCCCCUUGCCUUAGAGCAUGCGCUGCGAACUCUAGUCGAGACAACAGCAGUCGACGCCCCUGGAAGUGACAGUCAAGAGAUCAAACGACAUGUUACAUUUGGACAAACAUGCUGCAAAAAAAAAAAAAAAAAAAAAAAA